CCUACGGGAGGCAGCAGUGGGGAAUAUUGGGCAAUGGGCGCAAGCCUGACCCAGCAACGCCGCGUGAAGGAAGAAGGCUUUCGGGUUGUACACUUCUUUUGACAGGGAAGAGCAGAAGACGGUACCUGUCGAAUAAGCCACGGCUAACUACGUGCCAGCAGCCGCGGUAAUACGUAGGUGGCAAGCGUUGUCCGGAUUUACUGGGGGUAAAGGGCGUGUAGCCGGGCUGACAAGUCAGAUGUGAAAUCCGGGGGCUCAACCCCCGAACUGCAUUUGAAACUGUUGGUCUUGAGUAUCGGAGAGGCAGGCGGAAUUCCUAGUGUAGCGGUGAAAUGCGUAGAUAUUAGGAGGAACACCAGUGGCGAAGGCGGCCUGCUGGACGACAACUGACGGUGAGGCGCGAAAGCGUGGGGAGCAAACAGGAUUAGAUACCCGGGUAGUC
rnacentral:rRNA from 1 species